CUUCUCCCCUGUGCGGACAUGACAGGAAUGUGUGUAGUGGAGUGAUGUGUAACUCCUGGAAAGGGAAGUGCCAGGCUUGUAUGGACUCAGGCUGUAACUACAUAUAGGAGGAUUGUGUGACUAAAAUAAUCAGUCAGGAAUGAUUUACAUGUUGCUGAGGUGUUUACAGAAACAGCUAAAGGGCAGAAUCACUUUGCAGAGCAGAACUGUCAGGAAGAAAAAAGGUAUCCUCUCCAAAUAAAAGGAACUGACCAGUCACUCGUCAUUGCGUCUCGCAUCGCAUAGCAACGAUUAAGGGGACGCACACCAGAGGCCUGAAGCGGCGUGGACCCCGGCAACAGGUUCCUUGCCCAUCUAUGGUUUACUGAUCCAGGAGAUGCACAGUGAAGCGUCAUAUAAGAAGGGGUUAUCAUUUUAUGCAGCUCUGUUAUCAUAGGUUGCUACCCCUGUGACGCAGUUAUAUCUAUUUAUCCUGGAGGAUUUUUUUUGCAGUUCUGCUAUCAUAGACUGUAACUUAUAAAUGCCUUCUGAUUUUAAUUGAUCUAUUUGCUCUGCUUUUGCAUACUAUACGUACAAAUUAUAUAUGGUAGACACCCAUGAGGAUGCCGCGGAAUUGCAGUAGAAACACGUUGGGUACCUCUAUUUCAGGAAACAUCUGUGUUGGUGUAUAUACAUCUACACUGGUGUUAUUGUAAUUUUUUUAGCUGCACAUGUACAGGGAUGUGGGAGUGGUUAUCUGACCUGAUCCGUGUAUAUGUGUGCAGGUAGUUAUAUGGAAUACGAAUUCAGGUAGAAGACAGACAUGGUGCACAUCUACAAUCUUGCACAAUGAUCUAAUUGCUUCUCAGCAGAAUUACAAAAACUAACAGGUUGUUAGUAUAUACGUUUUGAUCAAAAAGUACAAAGCCCACUCGUCACGUCAAGGCCACCUAUUUAGAGUGGGUCCCUAACGUUCCUAGCAUAAAAUGGCGUAGCACUGGGCGGCGACCACCACCGCCCCGACACCAGUGCCCACAGGGGGAACGACCUACUGGCAGAGCGGCCCCAAUGCCACUCAAACCAGUCCAUGGGUCGCACCUCCCUGCAGACACGGCGCCACGGCAGCAACAGACGCCGCACAGCACCACACCAGUGUGAGCAGAGUGCUACAGCUCACUUACCAUGCUCUCCCAGUCAGACUGGGAGGCUGCUAGGAGUACCUCUUGAAAAAGGGAAACCGAAACGAUCUUAGGGGUCAGUCGCAGAAUUCGCUAUCCCACAUGGGCAGGUUACACAUUGACUUUUACUGAGUACUUAGACAUGUUGUCCUCAAUAUCAUUGUAUCUCACUAUGCACUCUCAGACCUGGCUAUACACCAGCUCUAGGCUAUAUUACUAGCUAAUCUUGAUACAUUAUUAUGCAGCAUUUGUAUGGAUAGCCCAUAGUGGCUAAACUGUGUUAUUCCAUAGAUUGCUAUACAUAGGGUGUGGACAAUUUCUAUGUACUCAUUUGUAUGUACUACUCUUACUCUGCGCCAGAUAUUUCUGUGUUGGAUUUCCAU